rnacentral:rRNA from 1 species
CCCGCUCAGAAACUCAAAUGAAUUGACGGGGGCCCGCGACAAGCGGAGGAACAUGUGGUUUAAUUCGAUGAUACGCGAGGAACCUUACCCGGGCUUGAAAUGCAUCUGACCGGCCUUGAAAGAGGCACUCCCUUCGGGGCAGAUGUGUAGGUGCUGCAUGGUUGUCGUCAGCUCGUGCCGUGAGGUGUCGGCUUAAGUGCCAUAACGAGCGCAACCCUCAUCAUUAGUUACCAUCAGGUAAGGCUGGGGACUCUAAUGAGACUGCCAUCGUAAGAUGUGAGGAAGGUGGGGAUGACGUCAAAUCAGCACGGCCCUUACGUCCGGGGCGACACACGUGUUACAAUGGGUGGUACAAAGGGCAGCUACCUGGCGACAGGAUGCUAAUCUCGAAAACCGCUCUCAGUUCGGAUCGGAGUCUGCAACUCGACUCCGUGAAGCUGGAUUCGCUAGUAAUCGCGCAUCAGCCACGGCGCGGUGAAUACGUUCCCGGGCCUU